rnacentral:rRNA from 1 species
GACGAACGCUGGCGGCGUGCUUAACACAUGCAAGUCGAACGGAAAGGCCCUGCUUUUGUGGGGUGCUCGAGUGGCGAACGGGUGAGUAACACGUGAGUAACCUGCCCUUGACUUUGGGAUAACUUCAGGAAACUGGGGCUAAUACCGGAUAGGAGCUCCUGCUGCAUGGUGGGGGUUGGAAAGUUUCGGCGGUUGGGGAUGGACUCGCGGCUUAUCAGCUUGUUGGUGGGGUAGUGGCUUACCAAGGCUUUGACGGGUAGCCGGCCUGAGAGGGUGACCGGCCACAUUGGGACUGCGAUACGGCCCAGCCUCCUACGGGAGGCAGCAGUGGGGAAUAUUGCACAGUGGGCGGAAGCCUGAUGCAGCAGCGCCGCGUGCGGGAUGACGGCCUUCGGGUUGUAAACCGCUUUCGCCUGUGACGAAGCGUGAGUGACGGUAAUGGGUAAAGAAGCACCGGCUAACUACGUG